rnacentral:rRNA from 1 species
UACAGAGGUCUCAACCGUUGUUCGGAUUCAUUGGGCGUAAAGGGUGCGUAGGCGGUCGCGCAAGUCGGAUGUGAAAUCUCAGGGCUCAACCCUGAAACUGCAUUCGAUACUGCGUGGCUAGAGUGCUGGAGAAGGAGACUGGAAUUUACGGUGUAGCAGUGAAAUGCGUAGAUAUCGGUAAGGAAGACCAGUGGCGAAGGCGAGUCGUCUGGACAGA